AAUAGAUACCCGGGUAGUCCACGCCGUAAACGUUGGAUACUAGGUGUGGCGGUUAUACCAAUGACUGCCGUGCCGAAGCUAACGCAUUAAGUAUCCCGCCUGGGGAGUACGGCCGCAAGGCUAAAACUCAAAGGAAUUGACGGGUCCCCGCACAAGCGGCGGAGCAUGCGGCUUAAUUCGAUGCAACCCGAAGAACCUUACCUGGGUUUGACAUCACGGGAAAAGCUGUAGAAAUACAGUGUCCAUUAGGGCCCGUGACAGGUGGUGCAUGGCUGUCGUCAGCUCGUGUCGUGAGAUGUUGGGUUAAGUCCCGCAACGAGCGCAACCCUUGUCCUAUGUUGCCAGCGGUUCGGCCGGGGACUCAUAGGAGACUGCCGGGGAUAACUCGGAGGAAGGUGAGGACGACGUCAAGUCAUCAUGCCCCUUAUAUCCAGGGCUGCACGCAUGCUACAAUGGCCGGUACGACGGGCAGCGACCCCGCGAGGGUGAGCGAAUCCUAAAAAGCCGGUCCUAGUUCGGAUUGAAGUCUGCAACUCGA
rnacentral:rRNA from 1 species